UUUGCUUGUUUAGAUGAUUAUCAGAUUAUUUAAAUAUCACAUUUAAUUUUUUUUUUUAUCAAGAUCCCACACAAGUUUUAUCUUAUGUGUUUUUGUAAUGGUUUAUUUAGUGCGCUUGUGGAGAAAAAAAAAAAAAAAAAAAAAAAAAAAAACCAACCCACACUGUAAAAAGUGAUUUGUUGGCUCAACAUCUAUUACUCAAGAUAAAUAGAAUAAACUCAAAAAUAUAUAUAUUCAUAACAUUUCAAGCUCUACUUAACAUUUUCUAGUGUAUGCAACACAAAAAUGUAUAUUAAAAGGUGAACAUAAGUGUAUUCAUAAAGUAAAUGAAAAAACGUAAGUAACAUCAACUAGCAUUAAAACUUGGUUAAAAUUAAGUAAACAUAAAAUAUAAUAUUUUACGUAUUUGUGAGCUGCGUGAUAUGCAAAUAUUCUAUUCAGCCAAUGAGCGAAGCUGGAGCCAUUUUGAAGCGUUAUGUGGUGAAGACAGCGAAUACUCUGUCAGGUCUUUAAAGAAAACUAAAUAAAACAUUAGAGUUUGACUAUUUAAACAUUCAUAAACACUGGUUUAUUGUGUUAGUGGGGUGUAUUCCUUAACCGGAAGCGCAACACAACAUUUUCUGAAGUUCGAUGUGGUGAAGACGGAGAUAAGAGUGGGGUGUAUUUGUAAACUGGAAGCACAACGCAACGUUUUGACGAUGUGGUGACGAUGGUGAAAGGAGUGCGAACAUUUGUGGUGCAACAAUAGAAGGAUAUGGUGCAUCCUGUUUUUGGAGUCCAAUGCUGUCUGCGGAAAUACACAGAGAAGUUGAUUCAGUGUUUAAUGGUGUACAUCUCUGACAAUGCUGAUAAUCUCAUCAGGCAUUACUAGGAUAGCCAUGGUGACCUAAAGGAACUGGAACAGCACACACACUGAGGAUUAUCACAGAGGUGGCUUCAUGGACGAUCCUUUAGAGACUGUAACUUUCUUUUGGUCAAAUUGUCACUUUUUUCAGAAGUACUACAGUCAUGAUUUUUGGUUUUAGACUAUUUAAGUUGCUGUUUCCAGAGUAGUAUUGCAAUCUCUGUCAGAAAACCUAAAAUGCUUUAUUUUUGUACUGAUUUUACUAAUUGUACUAAUUGUGUGAAAACCUUUUGUUGAAAUGCUGUCCAAAAAUGAAGUAAAAUGCUGUUUUGUGUUUAUUGUAUGUUUUGCACUUAUUUUAAGACAUUGAAUGUUCUAGAGCAGUACAGUAAGUUUUAUUCAAUAGCUCAAGGUCUAAAAUUAAUUAAAAUUAAGUUUGUUCAACUCAA